rnacentral:lncRNA from 1 species
AAGAACCAACUUUUAGUUUUGUCAAUUUUUUCAAUUGUUUCUUUUGUUUCGAUUUCAUUAAUUUCAGCUCUGAUUUUAAUUAUUUCUUGCCUUCUACUUCUUUUGCUGUUGUUUUGCUCUUCUUUUUCAAGGAUUUUGAGAUGAAGUAUGAGAUCAUUUAUUUGUUGGUUUUUUCUUUUUUUAAGGAAUGAACUCCAAGCAAUGAAUUUUCCUCUUAGAACUGCUUUCAAUGUGUCCCAUAGAUUCCGAUAUGUUGUGUCUGUGUUUUCAUUUAUCUCUAAGAAUUUUUUAAUUUCCUCCUUGAUGUCUUCUAUAACCCAUUGAUCAUUCAGUAACCUAUUGUUCAUUCUCCAAGUGAUGUAUGCUUUUUCCUUCCUUCUUUUAUCGUUGAUUUUCAGUUUCAUUCCAUUAUGAUCAGAUAAGAUGCAUGGUAUUAUCUCUACUCCUUUAUAUUGUCUAAGAGUUGCCCUGUGACAUAAUAUAUGAUCUAUUUUUGAGAAGGAUCCAUGUGCUGCUGAGAAAAAAGUGUAACUGCUUGAUGUUGGGUGGUAUACUCUAUAUAUGUCAAUUAGGUCUAGGUUAUUAAUAGUGUUAUUGAGUUCUAUAGUUUCCUUAUUCAACUUUUGUUUGGAAGAUCUGUCCAGUGGCGAGAGAGGUGUGUUGAAGUCUCCCAUGAUUAUUGUAUGGUGGUCUAUUAGACUCUUGAACUUGAGAAGAGUUUGUUUGAUGAACAUAGCUGCACCAUUGUUUGGGGCAUAUAUAUUUAUGAUUGUUAUGUCUUGUUGGUGUAUGGUUCCCUUAAGCAGUAUGUAGUGUCCCUCUUUAUCCCUUUUGAUUAACUUUGGCUUGAAAUCUAUUUUAUUUGAUAUGAGUAUGGACACUCCUGCUUGUUUCCGAAGUCCAUAUGAGUGAUAUGAUUUUUCCCAACCUUUCACCUUCAGCCUAUGUAUGUCUUUUCCUAUCAAAUGCGUCUCCUGUAGGCAGCAUAUUGUUGGGUCUUGUUUUGUGAUCCAUUCUACUAGCCUGUGUCUCUUAAUUGGUGAGUUUAAGCCAUUAACAUUUAGGGUUAUUAUUGAGAUAUGGGUUGUUCUUCCAGCCAUAUUUGUUUAUUUCUGUUACUAAACAUGGUUUGUUUUCCUCUUUGAUUAUUUUCCCCCCUUUAGUGUCCUACCUCCCACUGUUGGUUUUCAUUGUUAUUUUCCAUUUCCUCUUCCUGUAAUGUUUUGCCAAGGAUGUUUUGAAGAGAUGGUUUUCUAGCUGCAAAUUCUUUUAACUUUUGUUUAUCGUGGAAGGUUUUAAUUUCAUCUUCCAUCCUGAAGCUUAAUUUCGCUGGAUACACAAUUCUUGGUUGGAACCCAUUUUCUUUCAGUGUUUGAAAUAUGUUAUUCCAGGAUCUUCUAGCUUUCAGAGUCUGUGUUGAAAGAUCAGCUGUUAUCCUGAUUGGCUUACCCCUAAAUGUAAUCUGCUUCCUUUCUCUUGUAGCUUUUAAAAUUCUCUCCUUAUUCUGUAUGUUGGGCAUCUUCAUUAUAAUGUGUCUAGGUGUGGAUCUCUUAUGAUUUUGCACAUUCGGCGUCCUGUAGGCUUCUAGGAUUUGGGAUUCUGUCUCAUUCUUCAAGUCUGGGAAGUUUUCUCGUAUUAUUUCAUUGAAUAGAUUGCUCAUUCCUUUGGUUUGAAACUCUGUCCCUUCCUGUAUCCCAAUGACUCUUAAAUUUGGUCUCUUGAUGUUAUCCCAUAUUUCUUGGAUGUUCUGCUCAUGGUUUCUUAACAGUCUUGCUGAGCUGUCUAUGUUCUUUUCAAGUUGAAAUACUUUAUCUUCAUUGUCUGAUGUUCUGUCUUCUAAGUGUUCUACUCUGCUGGUAGUAUUCUCCAUUGAGUUUUUAAGUUGGUUUAUUGCUUCCUGCAUUUCUAGGAUUUCUGUUUGUUUGUUUUUUAUAACCUCUAUCUCCCUGUAUAGUUGAUCCUUUGCUUCCUGGAUUUGUUUGCGUAAUUCAUUGUCGAAGUGAUCUUUCAUUGUCUGAUUUUGCUGUCUAAUGUCUUCCUUGAGACUCCAGAUCAUCUGAAGCAUGUAUAUCCUGAAUUCUUUAUCUGACAUUCCAUCUGCUGCAGCUGUUACCUCUUCUAAAGUUGCGUUGACCUGCAUUGCUUGUGGUCCUUUCUUUCCUUGUCUUUUCAUACUGCUUGCGUAUCUUUCCUGCAGGUGCGGGCGGCGGCUCUGCUCUCUCCUUAUUCCAAUUGGGGUGUCGUGGCUACCACGCCGGCAGGUCACUGGGCCUGUUCUGGGCGCUGGCGGCGGCUCUGUUCUGCCCCUACUCCAAUUGGGGUGACGAGUGUACCACGCCGGCAGGCCACCGGGCCUGAUCCGCCGGUCGGUUGCAGGUUUGCCUACCCUGCAGGCGCGGGCGGCGGCUCUACUCUGCCCCUACUCCAAA